rnacentral:misc_RNA from 1 species
GAUGAAGAACGUAGCGAAAUGCGAUAAGUAAUGUGAAUUGCAGAAUUCAGUGAAUCAUCGAAUCUUUGAACGCACAUUGCGCCCCCCGGUAUUCCGGCGGGCAUGCCUGUUCGAGCGUCAUUUCAACCCUCAAGCUCUGCUUGGUAUUGGGGGAUAGGCCCCGUUGGGGCCUCCCCAGAAAAUUAGCGACGGUGCUCCUGAGAGUCCCAGCGUAGUGACUUUUAAAUCUCGCUGUCAAGGACGUCAGUUUGCUUCUGUCGGAAAUUUUUUUUUUUUUCAAUGGUUGACCUCGGAUCAGGUAGGGAUACCCGCUGAACUUAAGCAUAUCAAUAAGCGGAGGA